AAUCCAUUGAUCAAUUUAAUUACCGGUAACCUAUUUUAGGGAGAAAAACAAAGAUAUAUUAAAGGACCCUUUGUUGGAUUAAAGAAUACUUUGCUGAGUGAAACAAGUAAGAGAACACGCGCGUUUUCAAGUACAACUGCAGAAGUCUGAUCAAAUGCUCAACUUUGACCUCGCCCAUUACAAUUGUCACUCUUCUUCUGUACAAAAGGAUCACAAGUGUGCAGAUUGUCUCUCUGCGGCUGCUGCCCUCUGUCCACAAAUCUAGGUGCACAGAACACGUGAUGUACUGUUACCAUCACAAAUUAUGGCCUUCAAUCUGGCAAAGCUGAAACAAUUUAAAGGUGGCAAAAGAAUUUAUUCCGUGUCCUUGACAUGCAUCUUAAUGUCCACGUACCAGGUGGCAAUUUGUCCCCAAAUACCAGGACAAUUAAGCACAUGAGGGGAGAAAAUGAGUUGGACUCAUAGAACAACUGCACCUUACUACUCAUGUUGUACAAGUGCAGACGAGUGCAUCGGGCUUGAGCUGGAUAUAAAGGACGUGGAAUAAAUGCUAAAACGUGCUUCCAUAUGCAUUACUAACUCCGCACAAAUGUUUUUCUCUCUCCUUUUCUUUUCCUUCUUUGUGCUGCUGUGCUUCCUUCAAUAAUACAUGAACCGCGAUGUACCCAAUCGGACUUUAAACUGAAAACAGGCGUGAGGAGCACGACAACCAAGGCAAGGGAUGAAGGAAAAAAAAGCAGCAGAGACAAGAGGUGUGGUUUCGAACCAAAUGCGAACCAAAGCAUUUGAGAGCGGACACAAAGUUGAUCAGGGCUACAGGGACAAAGGAGACCCUCGUGUGUACUCACAGAAUAUUAUUCCCACCACGAUGACGCCAAUGAUGCCCAUCAUGAUCAUCAUCUGAAAGGAGAAGAAGACAU